rnacentral:rRNA from 1 species
UGGGGAAUCUUGGACAAUGGGGGAAACCCUGAUCCAGCGACGCCGCGUGACCGAUGAAGGCCUUCGGGUCGUAAAGGUCUUUCGACGGGGACAAUAGUGAUGGUACCCGUAUAAGAAGGAGCGGCUAACUACGUGCCAGCAGCCGCGGUAAUACGUAGGCUCCAAGCGUUGUUCGGAAUUACUGGGCGUAAAGCGAGUGUAGGCGGUCCGUCAAGUCGGUUGUGAAAUCUCCUGGCUCAACUGGGAGGGU